UACGUAGGGUGCAAGCGUUGUCCGGAAUUAUUGGGCGUAAAGAGCUCGUAGGCGGUUUGUCGCGUCUGCUGUGAAAACUCGGGGCUUAACCCCGGGCCUGCAGUGGGUACGGGCAGACUAGAGUGCGGUAGGGGAGACUGGAAUUCCUGGUGUAGCGGUGAAAUGCGCAGAUAUCAGGAGGAACACCGGUGGCGAAGGCAGGUCUCUGGGCCAUUACUGACACUGAGAAGCGAAAGCAUGGGGAGCGAACAGG
rnacentral:rRNA from 1 species